AAAGAAAUAAUUCCGAAAGCUUCUAACUUUCUAUUGAGCAUUAGAUUGUUCCUAUUUCUA
rnacentral:tRNA from 1 species